UUACCAUGCAGUCGAACGGCAGCACGGGAGCAAUCCUGGUGGCGAGUGGCGAACGGGUGAGUAAUACAUCGGAACGUGUCCUGGAGUGGGGGAUAGCCCGGCGAAAGCCGGAUUAAUACCGCAUACGCUCUGAGGAGGAAAGGGGGGGAUCUUAGGACCUCUCGCUCAAGGGGCGGCCGAUGGCAGAUUAGCUAGUUGGUGGGGUAAAGGCCUACCAAGGCGACGAUCUGUAGCUGGUCUGAGAGGACGACCAGCCACACUGGGACUGAGACACGGCCCAGACUCCUACGGGAGGCAGCAGUGGGGAAUUUUGGACAAUGGGCGCAAGCCUGAUCCAGCAAUGCCGCGUGUGUGAAGAAGGCCUUCGGGUUGUAAAGCACUUUUGUCCGGAAAGAAAACACGCCUGUUAAUACCGGGUGUGGAUGACGGUACCGGAAGAAUAAGCACCGGCUAACUACGUGCCAGCAGCCGCGGUAAUACGUAGGGUGCAAGCGUUAAUCGGAAUUACUGGGCGUAAAGCGUGCGCAGGCGGUUCGUUAAGACAGAUGUGAAAUCCCCGGGCUUAACCUGGGAACUGCAUUUGUGACUGGCGGACUCGAGUAUGGCAGAGGGGGGUAGAAUUCCACGUGUAGCAGUGAAAUGCGUAGAGAUGUGGAGGAAUACCGAUGGCGAAGGCAGCCCCCUGGGCCAAUACUGACGCUCAUGCACGAAAGCGUGGGGAGCAAACAGGAUUAGAUACCCUGGUAGUCCACGCCCUAAACGAUGUCAACUGGUUGUCGGGUCUUCAUUGACUUGGUAACGAAGCUAACGCGUGAAGUUGACCGCCUGGGGAGUACGGUCGCAAGAUUAAACC
rnacentral:rRNA from 1 species